AUUGAACGCUGGCGGCAGGCUUAACACAUGCAAGUCGAGCGGGGUGAUGGUGCUUGCACUAUCACUUAGCGGCGGACGGGUGAGUAAUGCUUAGGAAUCUGCCUAUUAGUGGGGGACAACAUCUCGAAAGGGAUGCUAAUACCGCAUACGUCCUACGGGAGAAAGCAGGGGAUCACUUGUGACCUUGCGCUAAUAGAUGAGCCUAAGUCGGAUUAGCUAGUUGGUGGGGUAAAGGCCUACCAAGGCGACGAUCUGUAGCGGGUCUGAGAGGAGGAUCCGCCACACUGGGACUGAGACACGGCCCAGAAUCCGACGGGAGGCGGCAGUGGGGAAUAUUGGACAAUGGGGGGAAACCUGAUCCAGCCAUGCCGCGUGUGUGAAGAAGGCCUUAUGGUUGUAAAGCACUUUAAGCGAGGAGGGGGCUCUUUUGGUUAAUACCCAAGAUGAGUGGACGUUACUCGCAGAAUAAGCACCGGCUAACUCUGUGCCAGCCGCCGCCGUAA
rnacentral:rRNA from 1 species